rnacentral:misc_RNA from 1 species
CCUUUCUACGGAGAUAUGAGUAAAAUCCCCCGCCUGUUUAUGGGUCGUGGGGUCGUGUCCAUGGGUCCGGCCGGUCGGUCGGAUGGUGUGGGCGUGCUGGCGUGGAACGGUCGAAUGGCUGUGGCAUGGAUGCGCUGUUGGGUUCCCGGACCGCCACCCUUGUGGGUGGUGUUCCUGUCGCCCAUCGGGUUCCUGUGCGGGUGUCGUCCCGUGGCGGGUCCUGGUGGUGUGGUGGUGGUUUGAGAACUGGAUAGUGGACGCGAGUGGAUGGCUGGCCUUGUGCCUGUCCGUCCGCUUGUAUUGUUUCGUCCGAGCCCACAUGGUGGGUUCGGGUCGAUCGUUUUGUGAUCUAUUAGUGUGAUGAUUUGUCGUCUGGCAGUUCGCAGUUGUUGUUGCCGUGGCAUGGCCUGUGGUCG